rnacentral:rRNA from 1 species
UACAGAGGGUGCAAGCGUUUGUUCGGAAUUAUUGGGCGUAAAGGGCGCGUAGGCGGCGCGACAAGUCACCUGUGAAAUCUCCGAGCUUAACUCGGAGCCUGCAGGCGAAACUGUCGUGCUGGAGUAUGGGAGAGGUGCGUGGAAUUCCCGGUGUAGCGGUGAAAUGCGCAGAUAUCAGGAGGAACACCGGUGGCGAAGGCGGGUCUCUGGGGCCGAUACUGACGCUGAGGAGCGAAAGCGUGGGGGAGCGAAACAGG